CGCGUAGGCGGCGCGAGAAGUCAGGCGUGAAAGCCCCGGGCUCAACCUGGGAGGUGCGCUUGGGACUCUGGUGCUGGAGUUCGGGAGAGGAGAGUGGAAUUCCCAGUGUAGAGGUGAAAUUCGUAGAUAUUGGGAAGAACACCGGUGGCGAAGGCGGCUCUCUGGACCGAUACUGACGCUGAGGCGCGAAAGCGUGGGGAGCAAACAGGAUUAGAUACCCUGGUAGUCCACGCUGUAAACGAUGUGUGCUAGACGUUGGGGAGCCUAGCUCUUCGGUGUCGCCGCAAACGCUUUAAGCACACCGCCUGGGGAGUACAGCCGCAAGGUUAAA
rnacentral:rRNA from 1 species